CAUGAAUGCAGAUAUACUUUAAAGAAGAUUCAAGGCCUCUCAUUUCCUCGAAAGAGUAAAAUCCACUUUCUACGUCAAAAGUCUUUCAACACGGAAAACCCACUUGCUUUAAGAAAGGCUUUGAAUACACUUUAAAUUAUAUAUAUAUAUAUAUCGUGCUUAAACAUAAUAUACUACAGCUUCCUUUGUUCAGUUUUUCGUUGGAGCCCAUAUAGAAGAAACAAAUUAAAAUGACAAGCAAAGCUUCUUCGAACUCUAAUGCUAUUAUCAUCUUAUGCUGUUUGUUCAUGAUUUGGAUUAUCAUGGUUUCACCGGUGGUCGCUCCCAUACCCUCCCUCAGAUCUGGAACCGCUGCAGGACAUAACGAUCAUGAACGCGCUGGCAGCAGCUCAAUAAUUGCACAGGCGCCUAAUCCAUAGAAGUAUCGUCAGCAAAAUAAAUAAAGCAGCUGGUUCACAUGUUAUUAAGAUGAGCGUAGUAUGUAUGGUUUUGUUUUAUCAUUCAACUAAAUUUGAAUUUUCCCUUUAAUUCGUAUGCAGAGAACUGUGAUAAUAAAUUGUUGAGUAAUAUAUAUUUUUUAUUUUUUUUUUAUUUUUUUUUUUUUGAAGGAUAAAAAAGUAUAAUUGUUGUUGUGUAAUUUAUUCGAAGGGUCCUAUUGUAAUUCGCUAGAUAAGAUCUUUGUGAUCAAUUUUCUCUGCUACACGAAUCCAAAUCUAUUGAAAAUGCGAAAACAAAUAA